AGUGAACGCUGGCGGUAGGCCUAACACAUGCAAGUCGGACGGCAGCACAGGAGAGCUUGCUCUCUGGGUGGCGAGUGGCGGACGGGUGAGGAAUACAUCGGAAUCUACUCUGUCGUGGGGGAUAACGUAGGGAAACUUACGCUAAUACCGCAUACGACCUACGGGUGAAAGCAGGGGACCUUCGGGCCUUGCGCGAUUGAAUGAGCCGCUGUCGGAUUAGCUAGUUGGCGGGGUAAAGGCCCACCAAGGCGACGAUCCGUAGCUGGUCUGAGAGGAUGAUCAGCCACACUGGAACUGAGACACGGUCCAGACUCCUACGGGAGGCAGCAGUGGGGAAUAUUGGACAAUGGGCGCAAGCCUGAUCCAGCCAUACCGCGUGGGUGAAGAAGGCCUUCGGGUUGUAAAGCCCUUUUGUUGGGAAAGAAAUCCAGCUGGCUAAUACCCGGUUGGGAUGACGGUACCCAAAGAAUAAGCACCGGCUAACUUCGUGCCAGCAGCCGCCGUAA
rnacentral:rRNA from 1 species